rnacentral:rRNA from 1 species
AGAGUUUGAUCCUGGCUCAGAACGAACGCUGGCGGCAGGCUUCAUACCUGGAAGUCGAACGAUUAAAGCCCCUUCUGGGGUGUAUAAAGUGGCGAACGGGUGAGUAACAGGUGGAUAACCUACCUCUUGGCGGGGGACAACAUUUGGAAACGACUGGUAAUACCGCAUACAAUUGCGAGCAACUAUGUGCAUGCAACGAAAGGCGCGCCUGCUCCGCCGAGAUAUCGUUCCGACCCCAAUUGCCUAGUAGUCGAAAUAACAUGACGCCAAGGCUCUCCUGGGUAACCUCACUGAUACGUUGGGCGACCACACUCCGACUGGUGGGCGGUGCAAUACGGUCCAUGCUGCUAUAGGAGGGAAUAUCGUGAACUGUUGCCCACGGGGAUCCAGCCGUACCCCGCGCCUCUUCACGCGCAUACGGCCCUCAAGACGCUGUUAUCCCGCAAGAAACACCAACCUGAAGACAUAUCUUCCCGCCAUUGCCUGGCCCCCUUUGUAAUCGCCGUCCGCAUAAUUCCGUUACCUGCUCCCCUGAAAGCACUGAGAGGGCUUGGUAUUUUAUCUUGUAAAUUAUCAUGCCCCUUUAGUGCCAAUUUAAGGCUGCUUGCUCUAUACCUUUCAAGGGCAAUUUCCCCGGGGCUUAACCAGG